rnacentral:rRNA from 1 species
UGGGGAAUAUUGCACAAUGGGCGCAAGCCUGAUGCAGCAAUGCCGCGUGAGUGAAGACGGCCUUAGGGUUGUAAAACUCUUUCGCUAGGGAAGAUAAUGACGGUACCUAGUAAAGAAGUCCCGGCUAACUCCGUGCCAGCAGCCGCGGUAAUACGGAGGGGGUUAGCGUUGUUCGGAAUUACUGGGCGUAAAGCGCACGUAGGCGGACCAGAAAGUUGGGGGUGAAAUCCCGGGGGCUCAACCCCGGAACUGCCUCCAAAACUAUUGGUCUAGAGUUCGAGAGAGGUGAGUGGAAUUCCAAGUGUAGAGGUGAAAUUCGUAGAUAUUUGGAGGAACACCAGUGGCGAAGGCGGCUCACUGGCUCGAUACUGACGCUGAGGUGCGAAAGUGUGGGGAGCAAACAGGAUUAGAUACCCUGGUAGUCCACACCGUAAAACGAUGAAUGCCAGUCGUCGGGUAGCAUGCUAUUCGGUGACACACCUAACGGAUUAAGCAUUCCGCCUGGGGAGUACGGUCGCAAGGUUAAAA